AGUGCUAGCCGUCUUGAAGUUGAGCAGGUGUCUUCCUGCAGUCCUUACCAAACCCAUUAUUGGAUUUCUCUCAUGGCCCUGGAUAUCUCUACAGGAUCCAGUUCAGUGGCUACGAGGCAGCAGACAUACCUCUCCCUCAGUCUCAUCUUCCUUGGCUCUAAGAUGCUGCUUUCCCCAUGAUGCAACUCAAUGGAGAAGAGGUCAUUUGGCCCAUGGUUUCGGAAGGUUCGUUCAUCGUGGAGGGGAAGACAUGACAUAGCAACUUAGUUCCUGGUAAUGUAAGCUGUCGGUGAAGGUUGCUCACAUGGCACACCAAGAAGCAGGAACCAGGGGUUGAAUAUAACCUUCAACGUCCAUCCCCACUGGCCUUCCUACUCCAGCUAGAGCCACACUUCCAAAGUUUCCUCCCCAAGCGGUAUCACAAGCAGGAAUACGAAUUUAAGGCGCCAGCCUGUCAGAGCACUUUGGAUUUAAAGUUUGACAUCCAGGACACCUUGAUCAGCCAUCACAAGUUAAUACAACGGUCUUUUAUGCAUAACUGGACACCUGCAUCUUCUCCCUGUGUUCCCAACUCCACUGAGCCUAUUCAUUCCUUAGCAGCUCUCUGUUGUUUUGCUGCUAGUUUGAGUUCCAUGGUGUCCACCCGAGUAGAGGUAGAAUGACUUCUACUGUGGAAGAGCCCUGGGCUUUCUGCUUAGCGGUGCUUAAGGCAGCUGUUGUAACCCCCAGUGGUUAACCCCAGUGACACCUCUCAGGCACCCUCCAUGCAUCAUUCAAUAGCACGCACAAUCCUAUGAGACUCAACCUGCUCAUUAGGCAUAAUUGCUCUUUGACACACAUGAGAUGCUAACAGGAAUCAGUGCAAUUACCCAGCAUUGCAAUAGCAAGGCAUAUUUAUUGAUACUGUGAUUAGGAAGUCACUAAAUAUAGAUGCGGUAAUCUUGGGCAUAGUUCCAACACAGCCAGAUGAUCGAAAGGAACCUUUUCUAGCAGGCCAGGUCGAGUGAAGUCAGAUGAUUCUAUCACGCUUACAGGGGUCUUGGUCCAGGUAGGAUCUUCAUGAAAGGCCUUACCAAAGAGUAUUGAGAAUGGGAGGCAGAGGUUCUGGAUCUCAGUAGCAACAACUAAGAGGGC
rnacentral:lncRNA from 1 species